GACGUAGGAGGCGAGCGUUAUCCGGAUUCACUGGGCGUAAAGCGCAUGUAGGCGGCUGGGAAAGUCAGUUGUUAAAGCCCCUGGCUCAACUGGGGGAGGUCAACUGAGACUAUUCGGCUUGAGGGCAGCAGAGGCGCGUGGAACUCCCGGUGUAGCGGUGGAAUGCGUAGAGAUCGGGAAGAACACCAGUGGCGAAGGCGGCGCGCUGGGCUGCAACUGACGCUGAGAUGCGAAAGUGUGGGGAGCAAACGGG
rnacentral:rRNA from 1 species